UAAUACGAAGGGGGCUAGCGUUGCUCGGAAUUACUGGGCGUAAAGGGCGCGUAGGCGGCGUGAUCAGUCAGGCGUGAAAUUCCUGGGCUUAACCUGGGGGCUGCGCUUGAUACGGUUGUGCUAGAGGAUGGAAGAGGCUCGUGGAAUUCCCAGUGUAGAGGUGAAAUUCGUAGAUAUUGGGAAGAACACCGGUGGCGAAGGCGGCGAGCUGGUCCAUUACUGACGCUGAGGCGCGAAAGCGUGGGGAGCAAACAGGAUUAGAUACCCUGGUAGUCCACGCUGUAAACGAUGUGCGCUGGAUGUUGGGUGACCUAGUCACUCAGUGUCGUAGCUAACGCGGUAAGCGCACCGCCUGGGGAGUACGGCCGCAAGGUUG
rnacentral:rRNA from 1 species